UCGUACGUCUCUUUGUCUCACAGUCUGUUUCCUCUUGUUGAUUGGGUCUGAAAAGAGGAACUCAAUUUUUUGUUUGUGAGUUGUAAGCAGCAACACUUCUUCCAAUUUCUAAUUCCAAUUUCUAAUCUUCUACCCAUCCAGAUGAUCAGGUGCCUUCUUCCAUGCCUUGUUUUUCAUUAUUUAUUUAUUUAAUCAGCAGCGUUCUCAAUUUGUUUUAUCACUAUCUCAUAUGUUUGUG
rnacentral:lncRNA from 1 species